rnacentral:lncRNA from 1 species
GCCGAACAGAGCACGGAAAAGCUUGGGUUUUCUAACAGAACAUUAUUUCAAGUCAAGUGGAAUAUAAAGGCUUUAUUUCCACUGAAGUUUUCUUUGUGAAAUUAGACCUUUGGAAACCAAACUUUCCCAGCAGUCUUUAAAAAAAAAAAAAUGAUUAUUUUACAGUAGUUGCUCUGUGGACACACCCUACAUUUCCUAAGAGUUCCUG